CGUGUAGGCGGUCAGGUAAGUGGGAUGUGAAAUGCCCCGGCUCACCCGGGGAUCUGCAUCCCAAACUGCUUGGCUUGAGUAUGGGAGAGGAUGAGGGAAUUCCUGGUGUAGCGGUGAAAUGCGUAGAUAUCAGGAGGAACACCGGUGGCGAAGGCGCUCAUCUGGCCCAAUACUGACGCUGAGGCGCGAAAGCUAGGGGAGCAAACGGGAUUAGAUACCCCGGUAGUCCUAGCCGUAAACGGUGAUCACUAGGUGUUGGAGGCAUCGACCCCUCCAGUGCCGCAGCUAACGCAUUAAGUGAUCCGCCUGGGGAGUACGGCCGCAAAGGUUGAAA
rnacentral:rRNA from 1 species